AUCGAGUCCCUGUGCGGGAGCCCUUGAAGUAUUUUAUUUUGCUGCUCUUUGGGCUUUAAUGUUAUAAUACGCGCUUAAUUUACAAUUAAGGUUAAGUGACUUAAAUACGUGCAAUGACCUCCCAGGACGAAUCUGCAUUCAGAAAAUAGGUUUUGCUAAUUGAACUUAAUAUAGAUGCAGAAACGGAAAGAGGAUCGAGAACGUCAAUUCAUUCCAAUUAAUCAGCAAGUAAAAAUUAAAACGAAAAGGUACCGACCAAAUUAAAUGCAUACGGAAGAUGUGUUGGUUAAGAGGGCCGGAGACGGCACCCUAAGCUAUCAAGUCUAUCGGAAACCAACACACACAAAUGAAUAUCUUUACGCCACCUGUCACCAUCACCCCUCGCAAAAGAAUUCAGUCAUUAGUUCACUGGUAUAUAGAACCCUCACAAUCGCUGAACCAACUUCUAUGAAUGGGGAAUUAGAACAUCUCAAUCAAGUUUUAACCAAAAAUAUAGCAGUAAAAACAUCAACAGUCCAAAGAUUGAAAACCAAAAUUUCUAGUUUCAACAAUGUCGAGACGCCAGAUGAGGAAAAAAAGAAAAAGAAAGAGAAGAGGAUAACUUUCCAGAUUUUCAAGUGUGUUUUUAUGUGUUGUAUGUGUGGGUAUGAUGUGUCGUCAUCGCUAAAAUCAAAUGCUCCCUCCUGUGAUUCUUUACUCUUUGUUGGUAGCAUCAAGUGGAUCACACUCUAAAGAGUAACGUAUUUAAAUACGUGCGAAUCGCACUAGCUCUCUAAGCCCGGAUAAUACAUGGCUCGCUCGCGGAAGCAUGAUACCCGCGGAUUUUGGGAUAAAUAUAUUUACGGAAGCAGAGAGCGCAAAAGAGGAACACUGCGAAGAGGGUUGGACAGAACGCGGGGGAAUAGCUGGCGUGGUCGUCGGACGCCGCCACCGCGCCCUUUUCGUGUUACGAGGUUGAGGUAUCCGUAGCUCCGGCUGAUUUACAUUUACGAUCACUCAUCUCUGCCGCGACCUGGGCUCGUACUACAGCUUAUUAACUCAUUCGUCUCGGUCAUGAAUAAUUUACCGUCUUGACACACCAUUGGGUACCGCCCAGUGUUGUUCGCGCAGGAUAGCCGUUUCUAUCCGGAUAAGAGCUGACCUGCUCUUUGCAAAAGGAGUGGCUGUUUAGAGUUACAUUGAGUGUCAUAAUGGCAUAUAGUAGAGUUGACCGACGGAAUUUGUGAGGGGUGGUAUUUAUGAAUAAGUCAACGAAAGUUAAAUAAGAAUAUGGAGCAAUUGCUGUUGUCUUAAUGAACAUGCUGCAAUAAUAUUCAAUCGUUUUAAGAAAUUAUUUCUCAAAAUAAAAUAGAUUUUAAAUAAAUAGAAUUAGCAGAAUUAAAAAUUUUUUGAAACGAUAAAAUGGUAGAACGCAAAGACAACUAUGACCGGAUUAAUCAUUGAAUCAUAACCAAACUGGAAUGCGCGCAAGACUGGUAUUUAGACAAGGCAAUGACAUAAAGCAGAUUGUCCUUGCUCUCACUUUACACGCAGCAAACAUAUUCACGAUUUUAUUUGCAUGUAUACUAGAAAUGAUAAUAGCCUACAUUUUGUUAUCUUUUUCUAAUCACAUGACCCAAAAACAAUACCUGUGCGCAAAUUGAUUACAGUUCAAUAAAGUCAAGCGUUGUAACAAGUGUGCAUAUCGUGUAUUGGCAAUAAAAGUGACACAAGUCGAAAUCUUUAUUUUCAAAUUUUGUUUUAUAUGCUGAUUAUGUUCUACGUACAUCGGUCUUCACACAGAAAAAGUGAUACAAAUUGAAUUCAAAUUUAAAAGUAAAAACAUUUACUUUGCUCGGAUUAAAAAAAUUUCCUGAAUAUUUUAGAUGAGAAUAUUUUCAUAAUUUACACAUAAUAUAUUGAUAAUAUUUUAUCAAUAAAGAAAUUAAAAUAUACUUUGUACAUCCGCGAUGAUUUCAAAUAUAUCUCAUAGAUCUUUAUUGCAAUGUCUAUUCAUUAAUUAUCGCUUUCAUAUGAUUGUAUAAUUAUUGGAUUAUUACAAACGUUUUGAAGUCAGUCUAAUAUCGUAGUGCUUGAUUAAUUUUAUAUUUGUGUUUAUUGUUGAAAUAUCCAAUUAAAUAUAAUUCUCUUUAAUCUCGUCUAAAGA